GCCAGGUCAGCUGAAAUCUAACACUCUGACUAAGGAGAACACAACACAACUGGAGGGGUGAAAAGAUGCCUGCUUCCCCAUGCUACACUAGCCAAGGAUCAGGCCGCUGACUGGAGUAACUCAGAACAGCUGCCAAUGGUCUCAAAGGGCUGAUACAGCAGCCAGGGAUGAGCAGGACAGUGGUCCCCAAUCUUUUAAUUUUUCACUCCCCCCAGCCGUGGUUGGGAGCCGCAGCCGGGAGCAGGGCCACAGUCAGGGCUGGGGGCCGAGGCUGGGUCUGGAGUUAGGAGAAGGCUGGAGCCUGGAGCGGAAGAGCCAGGGCCAGGAGUGGAGCCAUAGCCACGCCAGAACCCAGGGCCAUAUCCAGGUUCCUCUGAGCUGCCAAAGGUUUCGUGUGAAGUUGAGUUUUAAGCACCAGUAGAAGAUUAAUUUUGCAAAGAGAACAACCACUAAAUACUCAGUAAUAACUCCUGCACAGCCUCAGACAUAAAAAAU